AACGGCCGCGGUACUCUGACCGUGCAAAGGUAGCAUAAUCAUUUGCCCUAUAAUUGGGGGCUAGUAUGAAUGGUUUGACAAGAGCAUUUCUGUCUCUAUAAAAUUCUAUAAAAUUUAAUUUUCAGCUGAAGAAGCCUGAAUUUAAUUAAAAGACAAGAAGACCCUAUCGAGCUUUAAAAAAAUUAACGGAUUAUAAAUAUAUUUAUAUAGUUAUAACCCUUAAAAAUUUUGGUUGGGGCGACUAAGGAACAAACAAAGCUUCUUAUUAAUAAAAAGUAAGCAGACUAUGAUCCAAAAGUUUUGAUUAAAGGAAUUAGUUACCGUAGGGAUAACAGCAUAAUUUUUUUUAAGAGUUCUUAUCGAAAAAAAGGUUUGUGACCUCGAUGUUGGACCAGAAUAUCCUGAAGAUGCAGCCGUCUUCGAGGGUUGGUCUGUUCGACCAUUAAAAUUCU
rnacentral:rRNA from 1 species